UUCUCCCGGGUGGAUUAUCGCCAUGUCUGCAUUUUGGAAAGUUCAUCGAAUCCGUAAGUUCUCUUCUCUGCCACAGUUGCUUGCAUCGAUCACUUCAUUUCAAUCGCCGUAUUAUUGACUAAUACAUUGCUCUGUUCACUGGGCUUUGUAUUCAUUUUCCUUCUGGUGCUUGAUCGAAGCAGUACAAUCGAAGGUAUGGAGAGUCAACAUGGAGUAUUGGAGGUUGUGAAAUUGAAGAGGAACAUGGGGAGACAAGUACGAGCUGAAUAAACUUGAGCGGAAAGGUUGCCACAUGUCGCGCCGAUGGUACGCCUUCCCUGCACCCUAAUUUUCAUUAUUUAAUACUUCCUCAGUCUCAAAUUAUUGUCUUAGAUUUGUCUAGAUAGGGCUAAGACGACUAAUUCGGGCGGAGGGAGUAUAUGGCUACUGUCUUUUAAACUCAUACUGGUGUUGAACUAACCAUUGUUAUUUCCUUUCUGGCGUUUCAAGCAGCACCAGGAUGACUGAAGAAAAAGAAGAUCAAUGCCCUGAUGUUGAGUCUUCUUUGCUGUUGUUUCAAACUUUUUGGGACUCUGUCUAGGUCCCUACUCGCUGUCAUUUCUGUACUGCUGCUCUACUUUGGGUUGUUGUAUUCAUUGAUGUUUGAGUAUCUGCGCCUUCGUAUUUUCCGUUGGAGCUACAUCUGUGAUUGUCGGUCUACCGUAUCUAAUCAGAGAUGCAGGGAUUGGGGAUUGUUAUCCUGAAGCGUGGAUACUAACGGACUUAAUGCAUCUGUUCCG
rnacentral:lncRNA from 1 species